ensembl:lncRNA schwannomin-interacting protein 1-like
GCUAGCUACGUUAAAACUAUCAAGAAGGCUUUUAUUUUGAAGGGACUGACAGGAUAUCCCAGAAUUGAAUUUCCAAUUGUGAACUUUUUCUUGCGUGAAAUUCCUCAAGUUUGUGUCUUUUGUUUGUAUGUUUGGACCACGAAUGAUUGGAUAGCUGGCAUGAAAAUAGCCCAAAAACUGAAAGCCGCCAUUACGCAAUGUAAGUAAGUGUGCAGACUGAGACGAAUGAGAUGUGAAUGGCUCUUGUGGACAUAUUUCUCAGCUUCUUUUGGCUAUUUUGAGUAAGAAGGCAGAGGCAGAGUGAAACUCCUGAUGGAAAGGAAGCGAAGGGAAGAUAACUAGGAGGAGUUGAAGAAGGAGCGGAGCUAACUAGCUGUUAUGUGGCAAAACUUUCUUCUACUUCUCUGACAACGAGAGCAGUAGAGCUGUGUUUAUAUAUUGGAGAAAGUGAGAUGGAGGGAGAGAAAGAGAGACAGAGGCAGCAGGGAGACGAGAAGGAGAGUAACGAGGCAGAAGACGACAGGAGGAGCGAUGAGGAUGCUGACAAUGACGAGGAAGAGGAGGAUGAAGAUUCUGAGGGUGCGGCACUGGUCUGGCAGGAAGGUUACGGCGAGGACAAUCUGGGCCUUCCCAUCAUGCACUGGGAAGCGCUGAGCCUGCGUAUCGCUGAGCUGGAGAAGCAGGAGGAGGAGAAUAAGGAGAAGAGGGCAAAGAGUGGAGUUUCUCUGGAGCGAGGCAGAGCUCCGGUGAGCUGGGCGGAGGAGAGAGGGAGGAGAGCAGAGAGCUGGGAGGACGGAGACGACGCCUGCAACAGCCACGUGCUGGCACUCACCUCCCGCCUGCAGACCCAGAUGAAUCUUCAGCUCUGCUUCAUCAACAACAGUGAAAGUGAGGAGGAGGACGACGAGAAGGAGGGAGAGAUGAGCAAGAAAGAAAACAGCAACACAUGGAGAGGGACUGUUCAGGUCCACAAGAACCCUCAGCCUGCUGCCAAGCUGGAGAAACCAAAAUCCAGAGGCUUCAGGAACACCCUGAGAAACCUACGAGACCGACUGAGAACAGACCACAAAGCACUGGCUGCAGCUCGUAGUGAUCCUGUAGUCCAGAGAAGACAUGUGGAGCGCAGUGAUUUACAAAACUUCAGUACGAAGGACCUGAAUGCUCUUUGUACGUCUCUCAGCCAGACAAUACAAGACCUGAGCUCCGACCUGGUGGGUCGCCUGCAGGUUCGAGACCAGCUGAGGACGGAGCAGGACGCCAUGCUGCUGGAGGUUCAGGAUCUGACGUCGCUGUGAACCCUGCCUAUCGCUCCCUGCCGACGUUCACCUGUCGAGCAGUCGGGCGCGGUUAUAUCCAACAACCUUCUGAUCGAGUGUCGCAGUCUGUGAACAUUGUUGGGAAUCAGACGGUGCCACAGUGACCUCCACAAACAUCUCAGUCAGUCCCUCCUGACCAGCCAAUCACUGUGAAGAGUGUCACUCCCUGAAAGGACUAGGACAUUCAGUUGCUUAGUAUUUUUUAAUAUUAUGGUCUGUGUUGUAUAUUUAUAAGGGAAGUUGUGUCCCACUAAAGGACAGUGUCCAGCCUGGUCACGAUGUCAGAGCCGUAUGUUACGGUCAACAGCUGAAACUGAGUUGGACAACAUCCAGGCAGAGGAUGGUGGCCUUAAAGGAACAAGCUACCAUUUUUUGUGGAGGGGAUUACAUUUCUUUGCCGUCUUACUCUUGAGUCAGAUUAGAAUUUCAGUACCAGUUUAAUCUCUUGGUUUGGAUCGUCCCAUUUCCCAAAUUGGGAAGUCGUUCUUCCGACUUUGGUGCGUUCAUGAGCUUUUAAGUCGUAUCAUGGGAAACAACUUGGACUCUACAAAGACACGUUAUGUGUUUUCCGAGUAGUUGUUCCGACUCGAGGGGAAGUUCACGUGAAUUAUUCCCAGUCGGGAGGUAAUUCUUCCGAUUAUUCUGACAUGCAGCACAAAAGCCCUAUGACGCAAUUUUAAACCGAGCCGGGAAAAAACAUAACCUCCUCGGUGGAGGUAAUAAUGAAAAGGGAAACAUUUAUUUGAAUACAUCUUGCACACCAAAAAUGCACAUCACGUCAGAGUCAAAACUGUACACUGCGUUCUAUUUAAUAAAAUGUUAUUUUUGUGCAUAGGGCAAGGGAAUCUCUUAGAGUUUACAUCAUAAUGGGUUUUUUUCUUUUGUUUACAGAGCCACUUUACGGCUUCUUCUCUCCUGCUCCUCUCACUUGACUUUAACCAUCAGCUGUUUGUUGUUGCAGUGACCCUCAGCCUGUGCUGAUGACUCGCAUCAUUCAAUACUGGAUGUACAAGAUGUGGACGAGAAAUAUGGAAUAACAAACUUCUAAUGUUCUCGGAUAGACACUCAUUUCGAAGCCAAGUUCUGACCGCGCGAAAUUUAUAAAGAAAGAACACCUCGGGAGUUUUUGCUUUUGUUUUUUUCCAGACGGAAUAGAAACGGAACGAUUUAACUACCUGCUUGUUUUCCACACGUACAUUCAGACUCUGUGUGUAAACAUCUCUACUUAGUAGCACAAAAAAGAUGUCAUUUGAGUUGUUGGAAGCUGCAUCUUUUUACUUUAAACAGAUCAAGACAGUUUUCGCCACCUUCCAUUUUAUACUAAGGCAGAAUAAAAAGUGAUCAGACCUAUACUAAUACUAAUUAUCUCAUUUGAGAGUUUGACCAACAUAUUUACCCAAACAUCCGAAUGUUCAUUUUAAGGAUUUGUCUUGUGUUGACGAAAGUUGGCUUCAUUUUCCAGAUCGGCGUCUCUCCCUUAAAGCUGAGACGUUUCUGACCACUAUGGAGCAAUGUUUUGAUCAGCAGGUCCCCGCUUUGCUUCUGUACACAUGGUGGCCUGAUAAACAUCAUUCCAUUGAUCUCAACAUGUACAAAAAUAGCAGGACAAUAUUUCGCUUUUCAAAACAGAAAGUGGACCCGCAUCACUAUCACAACAGAGAUGCCAAUCUGCAAAGGGAGGGUCAACACUGUUUUUAAGACAUUGUUGGGUUUUAAUUAUCUAAAGUUUAAAACUGCAAUAUGAAAAGGACUCCUGUUAAGAAGCUGCUAAAUCUGUCUUUGUUUUCUACUUUGUGUAUGUUUAAUGCGUAUCUUUGUCUAGGCUUGUAGUUAGUAAAGAAUUAAAUGUGAUCUUAUGUAGAACAAAUUUAAGCGCUUUUCUUUGGUAUGUAAGGGAAGAUAUUUUAAUCUGUUUUUAUCCAAUUUAGUCUUGGCACAACGUUUUGAUAUUUUUUCAUUUAACAAACACUACGCAAAAAAUAAUAAUGUUUACCUGUUAUGUUUCUAAUAUCAGUAUGACAAACAUUUCCACAACCGUCAGUACAACAACUGUCAUGUUAUCCUCACCGAUCUGUUCUCUCGUUCAUAAAGUAACUGAAUCCUACUUUACGCACGUUUUUUUGGGUUCGCUGUUAAACUACCAUCAAUAAAAUGCAACACUUCCUGUUUUGAAUUAAAAGCCUUCGAACAGCUCAUUCCUGAUAACCUGUUGGUGUGACACAACUUCAGGAAGUGUUGAACUCCAUUCACAGUAGCUUAACACAAUUUCUUUAAUAGUUGAAGUAGAAGCAAUUAAAAAAACUAUGUUGAUUUUACCAUUGGAACCAUAUAGUUAUUUGUAAUUUAAUUUCAAUUUUUACCUUUAUUAGAAACCGUCAAAUUAUUCUACUAUCGGCUUUUAUUCUGAAUGUACAGAUCAGAUUUAGCAUUUGUACAAGUUACCAAUAGUGUGCACCAUGUGGCUGGUAUUUCAAGUUUCUAACAACACUUGGCACCAAACAGCUGAUUGUCAGCGCAGUGUGUCAGGGCUUCAGUAGAUGUGGAUGGACUUUACAGGACACUUAACUUUAGUGUUUUGGAGAAAGAAGUAAUUGAACAAAUUUUUGUCUCAUACUUUGUCAUUGUUAUAAUUGAACCAUGACUACAGUCUUUCCCUAACCUUAAAGAUGAACUCUCAUGUUAUUAUUGCCCUAACCCACAUGAUUAACAUCAUGGUCAUUUAGAUUAGAUUGAAGUAGAAGCUUAAAUGUAAAUGUUAAACUCCUUGUUUUAUUGACAAACUAAUGUAAAGACAUCUUUAUUUAAAAACAUGAAUCAUUUAGACUUUUUGUUUUUGUCUUUUAUUAAAUCUGUAUUGGAAAAACUAAAUUCACUUGAUUGAUUGCACGCUCCAAUACUGUUUAAUGUUGGUGGUGGUUUGAUUCUUUUUUUUGUGUGUGUGUGUGUGUGUGUGUGUGUGUGUGUGGACAUUAUGUUUCCUCAUAUUACCUAUAUAUUUUAAGGUGAAGACUCAUUUUAAUGUUAAGUUAAGGGUUAAGUAUCUCAAUGUAAUGUGCUCUAGUGAUGGAAACAAGUGUGUGUGUUUUUGUUAAAUUAAUAAAAUUAAGUCUUUUUGCUCAUAAGUUUAGGAUUUUUACGAUUCAUACUGCUGUCUCUGUGAGUAGAUAUAUACUGUUUUUUAGAUUUUGGGGUGAACUUAAGUUAUGUUUGGGAUUUUGUGAUCGCACCAAAAGUACAUAAAUGUCCAUGUAUUUGUGGGGUCCAUUUGUCUGUCUAUGUUCUCAGGGC